AUUGAACGCUGGCGGCAGGCCUAACACAUGCAAGUCGAGCGAGCGGCGGACGGGUGAGUAAUGUAUGGGGACUGCCCGAUAGAGGGGGAUAACUACUGGAAACGGUAGCUAAUACCGCAUACUAUCGGAUAACGCAUAGGGGAUUAGCUAGUAGGUGAGGUAAUGGCUCACUUAGGCGACGAUCCCUUGCUGGUCUGAGAGGAGGAUCAGCCACACGGGGACUGAGACACGGCCCACACUCCUACGGAUGCAGCAGUGGGGAAUAUUGCACAAUGGGCGAAAGCCUGAUGCAUCCAUGCCGCGUGUAUUAAGAAGGCCCUAGGGUUGUAAAGUACUUUCAGUUGGGAGGCGUUACCGACAGAAGAAGCACCGGCUAACUCCGUGCCAGCAGCCGCGGUAAUAC
rnacentral:rRNA from 1 species